rnacentral:rRNA from 2 species
AGAGUUUGAUCCAUGGCUCAGGAUGAACGCUGGCGGCGUGCCUAAUACAUGCAAGUCGAGCGAACUGAUUAGAAGCUUGCUUCUAUGACGUUAGCGGCGGACGGGUGAGUAACACGUGGGCAACCUGCCUGUAAGACUGGGAUAACUUCGGGAAACCGAAGCUAAUACCGGAUAGGAUCUUCUCCUUCAUGGGAGAUGAUUGAAAGAUGGUUUCGGCUAUCACUUACAGAUGGGCCCGCGGUGCAUUAGCUAGUUGGUGAGGUAACGGCUCACCAAGGCAACGAUGCAUAGCCGACCUGAGAGGGUGAUCGGCCACACUGGGACUGAGACACGGCCCAGACUCCUACGGGAGGCAGCAGUAGGGAAUCUUCCGCAAUGGACGAAAGUCUGACGGAGCAACGCCGCGUGAGUGAUGAAGGCUUUCGGGUCGUAAAACUCUGUUGUUAGGGAAGAACAAGUACGAGAGUAACUGCUCGUACCUUGACGGUACCUAACCAGAAAGCCACGCAA